GACGAACGCUGGCGGCGUGCUUAACACAUGCAAGUCGAACGGUAAGGCCCUUCGGGGUACACGAGUGGCGAACGGGUGAGUAACACGUGGGUGAUCUGCCCUGCACUUCGGGAUAAGCCGGGGAAACUGGGUCUAAUACCGGAUAGGACCACUGCCUGCAUGGGUGGUGGUGGAAAGCUUUUGCGGUGUGGGAUGGGCCCGCGGCCUAUCUGCUUGUUGGUGGGGUGAUGGCCUACCAAGGCGACGACGGGUAGCCGGCCUGAGAGGGUGACGGGCCACACUGGGACUGAGAUACGGCCCAGACUCCUACGGGAGGCAGCAGUGGGGAAUAUUGCACAAUGGGCGCAAGCCUGAUGCAGCGACGCCGCGUGAGGGAUGACGGCCUUCGGGUUGUAAACCUCUUUCAGCACCGACGAAGCGCAAGUGACGGUAGGUGCAGAAGAAGGACCGGCCAACUACGUGCCAGCCGCCGCGGUAA
rnacentral:rRNA from 1 species